rnacentral:rRNA from 1 species
UACGACUACAUAUCAGGCAUAUCAAUAAGGCGGAGGAAAAGAAACUAACAAGGAUUCCCUUAGUAACGGCGAGUGAAGCGGGAAGAGCUCAAAUUUGAAAUCUUCAAGGUUUUACCUUGACGAAUUGUAGUUUAAAGAAGUGUUUUCUGUUGAAGUUUUGGUAAAAGUUCUUUGGAAUAGGACAUCAUAGAGGGUGAGAAUCCCGUAUUUGACCAUUAUUUCCAGCUUUGUGAUACACUUUCAAAGAGUCGGAUUGUUUGGGAAUGCAGUCCAAAAUGGGUGGUAAAUUUCAUCUAAAGCUAAAUAUUGGCGAGAGACCGAUAGCGAACAAGUACCGUGAGGGAAAGAUGAAAAGAACUUUGAAAAGAGAGUUAAACAGUACGUGAAAUUGUCAAAAGGGAAGCGUCUGGCACCAGUGUUGUUUUCUCGAAAAUCAAUUAAAAAGGCUGGAUUUUGUGUUGUAUUGACCUUAAUCAGCUUGCUUCACUCUUUUCAUUGUCUUAUUUAAUGCACUUUUCGUUUAACAAGUCAACAUCAGUUUCUUUUGUUGUAAAAGGGUCAUUGGAAGGUGGCUUUCUCUUCGGAGAAAGUGUUUAUAGCCUUUUAUCUCUGCAGUCGGAGAGAUUGAGGUCUGCAGCGUAGACUCUUCGGGGUUAGAUACGUCGGUGCUAAGCUACAGCUUUUCAUAGACAACUUGUUGACUAUGUUUAGUCUUGUGACUUACCCGCUUAUGCUAUUUUACCUACGCUUAGGAUGUUGAGCGCAUGUCUCUCUCU